GUGGGGAAUCUUAGACAAUGGGGGAAACCCUGAUCUAGCCAUGCCGCGUGAGCGAUGAAGGCCUUAGGGUUGUAAAGCUCUUUCAGCUGGGAAGAUAAUGACUGUACCAGCAGAAGAAGCCCCGGCUAACUCCGUGCCAGCAGCCGCGGUAAUACGGAGGGGGCUAGCGUUGUUCGGAAUUACUGGGCGUAAAGCGCGCGUAGGCGGACCAGAAAGUUGGAGGUGAAAUCCCAGGGCUCAACCUUGGAACUGCCUUCAAAACUCCUGGUCUGGAGUUCGAGAGAGGUGAGUGGAAUUCCGAGUGUAGAGGUGAAAUUCGUAGAUAUUCGGAGGAACACCAGUGGCGAAGGCGGCUCACUGGCUCGAUACUGACGCUGAGGUGCGAAAGCGUGGGGAGCAAACAGGAUUAGAAACCCCGGUAGUCC
rnacentral:rRNA from 1 species